AUGUGCGCAAAGGGCAAAUUUAUUAAUUCAAGUUUUUUUGUUGCAGGGUCAUACAAAUAUGUUCCAGUCCUGCCCUCUGAAAUAGUGAAGUUAGCAUGUGUCUACAGUCCUGAGAUUGAAACAUCCCUGUUCAGUGUUCUGUGGCUUCAAGCAGAAUUUAUUAUUAAUUCAGAUCAGAACCACAGCGGUGUCUCUUACAGCAUUAAUGACAAUGGGAGUGUAUCAGAGCUGAGAAUUGUAAAUAAUGGAAAUGAGAGCCGUAUAGAUGGGUUUUAUUCCUGUUGGGUGCAACCAGCAGAUGCAGCUAGUCAGGGAAAAUUAUUAAUUUCCUACGGUUUGGAUGUCAUUAAACCAGAAUCAGCUAGCGAAUCAGUAUUUCAUGCAAUCAAGAAUCGAAUAUAUACUGGAACAGAAAAUCCAUGUUACUUUCUGGUACUAUUACUUCUUUUUCCAAUCCUAAUCAUACUCUGCUGCUGCAAGGAAUGCAAGGUGGAGAGAAAAUAUAUCCAUGCAACAACUGGGAGAAAAAGUCAGGAGAGAGAUAAGUACUCACGACCCAAAGUACAGUAUUUAAAACUGCCAAAUCCAGAUCAAAAUGAAAAAUUCCUAACAGGAGACGGACAAAGUUCUGAUUCUGAAUCUGAAGGUUCAAGGUUUGAUAAAGGAGAAUGCUCAAAAGAUAACAAAGGUGUCUUGGUUGACAAAGAUGGGAAACCUCGUAAAGACAUCAACGAGAGCCAUAAGAGGAGGUUAACCAGUGGAACUCAGGGCACCCUUGAUUCCAUCCAGAAUCCUCCGACUCUAGAUCUUCAAGGCCAGGAUAAAACAGGGAAUGGCCGUAGUUCUUUUCAAGCAAAUCUAGCUGAGAGGAUAUUGAGCUCAAAAAUAGCAUCCGAUUCACAAUGGCAGACUCAUUUAGGUUACUCAGGAUAUAGCACCUCUGAGGAAUUAUUACUUGGAACAGUUGAGUAUCCAGAAGUUGAUACUUCAGUUCAGAAAUUGAAGAAUCCCAGCAGAAAAAAUCUUGAAAAACCGGGUUUCAGGAAAGCACCUGUUCCUACAACCUCCGCUUCCCUCAAAUUUAAUGUUAAUACUGCUGGAUAUGAAACUACAGCAGGCCUUGAUGCAAAUUUUUGCAAUGACCCAGUCCUCUUCAGAACUAAAUGGUCUAAGAAGACCACCUUGGAUGAAGUCCACCAUCACCAAGAGACAGCUAACUUGCAAUGGCAGUCACAUACUUGUCGUUCAGGGAACAGCUCAACUACUGAGACUGUAAUCAACACUAUUAAUUUAGACAGAUUAAUGGAAGGACAAAAAGACUCCCAAAGAAAACACUUCAAAAAUGUGAUCAGUAACGGAAAAGAAAUCACUCAUACAUUUCCAACUUUUGGCAGAGCAAAAUCAGAAGAAAUGAAGAAUGAAACAGGGGAGGGCGAUGAAAUAGAUAUUUUUACUCUACUUCCAACAAAGCGAUAG
rnacentral:lncRNA from 1 species